rnacentral:rRNA from 1 species
GAUGAACGCUGGCGGCGUGCUUAACACAUGCAAGUCGAACGGAAAGGCUCCUGCUUGCAGGGGUACUCGAGUGGCGAACGGGUGAGUAACACGCGGGUGAUCUGCCCUGCACUUCGGGAUAAGCCUGGGAAACUGGGUCUAAUACCGGAGAGGACGAUGGUUUGGAUGCCAUUGUGGAAAGUUUUUCGGUGUGGGAUGGGCUCGCGGCCUAUCAGCUUGUUGGUGGGGUAAUGGCUUACCAAGGCGUCGACGGGUAGCCGGCCUGGGAGGGUGUACGGCCACAUUGGGACUGAGAUACGGCCCAGACUGCUACGGGAGGCAGCAGUGGGGAGUAUGGCACAAUGGGCGCAAGCCAGAUGCAGCGGCGCCGCGUGGGGGAUGACGGCCUUCGGGUUGUAAACUCCUUUCGCUAGGGACGAAGCGCAAGUGACGGUACCUGGAGAAGAAGCCCCGGCUAACUACGUG